UGGGGAAUAUUGGACAAUGGGCGCAAGCCUGAUCCAGCCAUGCCGCGUGAGUGAUGAAGGCCCUAGGGUUGUAAAGCUCUUUCACCGGUGAAGAUAAUGACGGUAACCGGAGAAGAAGCCCCGGCUAACUUCGUGCCAGCAGCCGCGGUAAUACGAAGGGGGCUAGCGUUGUUCGGAUUUACUGGGCGUAAAGCGCACGUAGGCGGACUUUUAAGUCAGGGGGUGAAAUCCCGGGGGCUCAACCCCGGAACUGCCUUUGAUACUGGAAGUCUUGAGUAUGGUAGAGGUGAGUGGAAUUCCGAGUGUAGAGGUGAAAUUCGUAGAUAUUCGGAGGAACACCAGUGGGCGAAGGCGGCUCACUGGACCAUUACUGACGCUGAGGUGCGAAAGCGUGGGGGAGCAAACAGGAUUAGAUACCCCUGGUAGUCCACGCCGUAAACGAUGAAUGUUAGCCGUUGGGGGAGUUUUACUCUUCGGUGGCGCAGCUAACGCAUUAAACAUUCCGCCUGGGGGAGUACGGUCGCAAGAUUAAAACUCAAAGGAAUU
rnacentral:rRNA from 1 species